GCAGUAAGGAAUAUUGGGCAAUGGACGCAAGUCUGACCCAGCCAUGCCGCGUGGAGGAUGAAGGUCCUCUGGAUUGUAAACUUCUUUUAUUUGGGAAGAAAUGCCGAUUUUCUAAUUGGUUUGACGGUACCAGAUGAAUAAGCNCCGGCUAACUCCGUGCCAGCAGCCGCGGUAAUACGGAGGGUGCAAGCGUUAUCCGGAUUCACUGGGUUUAAAGGGUGCGUAGGCGGGCAUGUAAGUCAGUGGUGAAAUCCCCGAGCUUAACUUGGGAACUGCCGUUGAUACUAUGUGUCUUGAAUAUCGUGGAGGUAAGCGGAAUAUGUCAUGUAGCGGUGAAAUGCUUAGAUAUGACAUAGAACACCGAUUGCGAAGGCAGCUUACUACACGAUCAUUGACGCUGAGGCACGAAAGCGUGGGGAUCAAACAGGAUUAGAUACCCCUGGUAGUCCACGCCCUAAACUAUGGAUACUCGACAUAACGCGAUAUCA
rnacentral:rRNA from 1 species